GACGAACGCUGGCGGCGCGCCUAACACAUGCAAGUCGAACGAGAGAGGAAGAGCUUGCUUUUCCGAUCGAGUGGCGAACGGGUGAGUAACGCGUGAGGAACCUGCCUCAAAGAGGGGGACAACAGUUGGAAACGACUGCUAAUACCGCAUAAGCCCACGGCUCGGCAUCGAGCAGAGGGAAAAGGAGCAAUCCGCUUUGAGAUGGCCUCGCGUCCGAUUAGCUAGUUGGUGAGGUAACGGCCCACCAAGGCGACGAUCGGUAGCCGGACUGAGAGGUUGAACGGCCACAUUGGGACUGAGACACGGCCCAGACUCCUACGGGAGGCAGCAGUGGGGAAUAUUGCACAAUGGGGGAAACCCUGAUGCAGCGACGCCGCGUGGAGGAAGAAGGUCUUCGGAUUGUAAACUCCUGUUGUUGAGGAAGAUAAUGACGGUACUCAACAAGGAAGUGACGGCUAACUACGUGCCAGCCGCCGCGGUAA
rnacentral:rRNA from 1 species